rnacentral:misc_RNA from 1 species
UCCGAGUUGACCCCGGCAGUCUCCUGCGAGUCCCCGCCAUUACGCGCUGGCAACACAGGACAAGGGUUGCGCUCGUUGCGGGACUUAACCCAACAUCUCACGACACGAGCUGACGACAGCCAUGCACCACCUGUAUACCGACCACAAGGGGGGCCGUAUCUCUACGGCUUUCCGGUAUAUGUCAAACCCAGGUAAGGUGGGGAUGACGUCCAGGAACACCAAC